rnacentral:rRNA from 1 species
GCCGAAGCGAAAGCGAGUCUUAAGAGGGCGCGAGUUGCAUGCAGUAGACCCGAAACCGGGUGAUCUAGCCAUGACCAGGUUGAAGUUGGGGUAAAACCCGAUGGAGGACCGAACCGACCCCCGUUGAAACGUUGGCGGAUGAGUUGUGGCUAGGGGUGAAAUUCCAAUCGAACCCGGAGAUAGCUGGUUCUCCCCGAAAUAGCUUUAGGGCUAGCGUCGAGAGAAGAGUUGCGUGAAGGUAGAGCACUGAAUAUGUGAUGGCCCCAUCUCGGGGUACUGAGCAUAAUCAAACUGCGAAUGUCACGCCAACAUGCUCGGCAGUCAGACAGCGGGUGAUAAGGUCCGUUGUCAAGAGGGAAACAGCCCAGACCAUCAGCUAAGGUCCCAAAAUGUAUGCUAAGUGGAAAAGGAUGUGGAGAUGUACAGACAACUAGGAGGUUGGCUUAGAAGCAGCCAUCCUUUAAAGAGUGCGUAACAGCUCACUAGUCGAAUGACUCUGCGCCGAUAAUUUACCGGGGCUAAGCAUACUACCGAAGCUAUGGAUCCCAAGGGAUGGUAGGGGAGCGUUCCAUGAACGGAGAAGUACGACCGAAAGGACGUGUGGAGAUCAUGGAAGAGAGAAUGCCGGUGUGAGUAGCGGAACGUGGGUGAGAAUCCCACGCACCGAAAACCCAAGGUUUCCAGAGGAAGGUUCGUCCGCUCUGGGUAAGUCGGGACCUAAGGCGAGGCCGAAAGGCGUAGUCGAUGGACAACAGGUAGAGAUUCCUGUACCCGUAUAUAUGUGAAGGAAUGACGGAGAGAGGAAGCUGCAGCCAGCGGCUGGAAGAGCUGGUGCAAGCGAGAUAUCGGGAUGGCAGGCAAAUCCACCAUCCGAAACGAGAAGGCGUGAAGCGUACGGAAAGCUACGGCGAGUACGGAAGGCAGUGGAGGAACUUCCAAGAAAAGUUUCUAACGUUAAGUAUAUAUGGCCCGUACCGAAAAUGGACACACAUGGGUGAGGAGAGAAUCCUAAGGUGAGCGAGAGAACUAUAGCUAAGGAACUCUGCAAAAUGACUCCGUAACUUAGGGAGAAGGAGUGCUCAUAGAGAUAUGAGCCGCAGUGAAACGGCCCAAGCGACUGUUUACCAAAAACACAGCUCUCUGCUAAGCCGCAAGGCGAAGUAUAGGGGGUGACGCCUGCCCGGUGCUGGAAGGUUAAGGGGAGGGGUUAACGCAAGUGAAGCCCUGAACUGAAGCCCCAGUAAACGGCGGCCGUAACUAUAACGGUCCUAAGGUAGCGAAAUUCCUUGUCAGGUAAGUUCUGACCC